CCGGCUGCCAGCCGCCUGCCCUCCCGCCCUGCGGCGGCCGCCCCUGAGGGGAAAUGGCGGGCCGGGGAGGAGGACAGCCCUUCUCCCACCGGCGCGGAGCCCAUCCUCGGCCCUCCGCCUCCUUCCCUGCCCGGGGAAGCGCCUUAACGUGGCUGGGGCCACGGGGCCGUUCGAGCGCAGGCUGCCGCCCGCGGCCGCGCUCCAUGGAGGCCGGUGCCGGCGUCUCCGCCCGCUCCCAGCCUCCCCGGCUCUUCCUCAGGCGCGCCGGGAGGCGGGCCCGGAGAGCCUCGCUGACGGUAGCCGGCCUCCGGGAAGCGCCAGGUCGGAGGAUCCGAUUCGCUCCGGCGGAGAGAUGCUGAGUUUCGUGGUAUCAAACAGGUCUCAAAUCGGAGCCUAGCAUGCCAGGCAGAUCCUGUCCAUGGGAAGGUCAUCUGAUGUUUUGGUCUUUUCAGGCAGGUCCAGCUCCUGAUUGGGCAUAGGACUUCUCAAGGUGUGUCUUUUGCCAAGAAGCUUUUGCAUUUUAAGAGCACAAAAUAGACCAUGAAAACCUCCU